UACGAAGGGGGCUAGCGUUGCUCGGAAUUACUGGGCGUAAAGCGCACGUAGGCGGAUAUUUAAGUCGGGGGUGAAAUCCCGGGGCUCAACCCCGGAACUGCCUUCGAUACUGGGUAUCUUGAGUUCGGAAGAGGUGAGUGGAAUUGCGAGUGUAGAGGUGAAAUUCGUAGAUAUUCGCAGGAACACCAGUGGCGAAGGCGGCUCACUGGUCCGAUACUGACGCUGAGGUGCGAAAGCGUGGGGAGCAAACAGG
rnacentral:rRNA from 1 species